UACGUAGGUGGCAAGCGUUGUCCGGAUUUACUGGGCGUAAAGAGCGCGCAGGCGGUCGUAUAAGUCGAAUGUGAAAUCCCCCGGCUCAACUGGGGAACUGCAAGGGAAACAGCAGGGCUUGAGUUCGGGAGAGGGAAGCGGAAUUCCGGGUGUAGCGGUGAAAUGCGUAGAGAUGUGGAGGAACACCGAUGGCGAAGGCAGCCUUCUGGGCCAACACUGACGCUCAUGCACGAAAGCGUGGGGAGCAAACAGG
rnacentral:rRNA from 1 species